GGUAACAGCUCAAAUUUGAAAUCUGGGUCUUUCAGGCUCCGAGUUGUAAUUUGUAGAGGAUGCUUCGGGUGCGGCUCCGGUCUAAGUUCCUUGGAACAGGACGUCAUAGAGGGUGAGAAUCCCGUAUGUGAUCGGUUGCUUGCGCCCAUGUGAAGCUCUUUCGACGAGUCGAGUUGUUUGGGAAUGCAGCUCAAAAUGGGUGGUAAAUUUCAUCUAAAGCUAAAUAUUGGCCAGAGACCGAUAGCGCACAAGUAGAGUGAUCGAAAGAUGAAAAGCACUUUGGAAAGAGAGUUAAACAGUACGUGAAAUUGUUGAAAGGGAAGCGCUUGCAACCAGACUUGCGCGUUGCCGAUCAUCCGGGGUUCUCCCCGGUGCACUCGGCCUCGCUCAGGCCAGCAUCGGUUUUGGUGGUGGGAUAAAGGCCUUGGGAAUGUAGCUCCUUUCGGGGAGUGUUAUAGCCCUCGGUGCAAUGCCGCCUACCGGGACCGAGGACCGCGCUUCGGCUAGGAUGCUGGCGUAAUGGUUGUAAGCGAC
rnacentral:rRNA from 1 species